AUUGGACGCUGGCGGCAGGCCUAACACAUGCAAGUCGAACGGUAACAGGAAGCAGCUUGCUGCUUUGCUGACGAGUGGCGGACGGGUGAGUAAUGUCUGGGAAACUGCCUGAUGGAGGGGGAUAACUACUGGAAACGGUAGCUAAUACCGCAUAACGUCGCAAGACCAAAGAGGGGGACCUUAGGGCCUCUUGCCAUCGGAUGUGCCCAGAUGGGAUUAGCUAGUAGGUGGGGUAACGGCUCACCUAGGCGACGAUCCCUAGCUGGUCUGAGAGGAUGACCAGCCACACUGGAACUGAGACACGGUCCAGACUCCUACGGGAGGCAGCAGUGGGGAAUAUUGCACAAUGGGCGCAAGCCUGAUGCAGCCAUGCCGCGUGUAUGAAGAAGGCCUUCGGGUUGUAAAGUACUUUCAGCGGGGAGGAAGGGAGUAAAGUUAAUACCUUUGCUCAUUGACGUUACCCGCAGAAGAAGCACCGGCUAACUCCGUG
rnacentral:rRNA from 1 species